rnacentral:rRNA from 1 species
GACGAACGCUGGCGGCGUGCUUAACACAUGCAAGUCGUACGGAAAGGCCCUGGCUUUGGUUGGGGUGCUCGAGUGGCGAACGGGUGAGUAACACGUGGGUGAUCUGCCCUGCACUUUGGGAUAAGCCUGGGAAACUGGGUCUAAUACUGGAUAGGACCAUGCUUUUGUGUGUCAUGGUGGAAAGGCUUCUUUUUGGGGCUGGUGUGGGAUGAGCUUGCGGCCUAUCAGCUUGUUGGUGGGGUAAUGGCCUACCAAGGCGUCGACGGGUAGCCGGCCUGAGAGGGUGUACGGCCACAUUGGGACUGAGAUACGGCCCAGACUCCUGCGGGAGGCAGCAGUGGGGAAUAUUGCACAAUGGGCGGAAGCCUGAUGCAGCGACGCCGCGUGAGGGAUGACGGCCUUCGGGUUGUAAACCUCUUUCGCUGGGGACGAAGCUUUUUUUGGUGACGGUACCUGGAGAAGAAGCACCGGCUAACUACGUG